GUGAAUCAUCGAAUCUUUGAACGCAAAUUGCACUCUCUUCGGAGAGUAUGCCUGUUUGAGGGUCAGUAUUAAUAAAAAUCGGUGUGUUGCUUCUUUGUGACGCUCCGGAGUUUGGGUCAUUUUAAUAUCCUUUAGGUUUUAAGAGGCUUAAAAUUGACUUUUUUUGGCGCAUUUUAAAGUUACUAAAAUUUUUUUUUACUUCUUCGGUUUUAAUCUUCAUAAUCCUAUUAGAUGCGACCA
rnacentral:misc_RNA from 1 species